rnacentral:rRNA from 1 species
UUAAAUUGAAGAGUUUGAUCAUGGCUCAGAUUGAACGCUGGCGGCAGGCCUAACACAUGCAAGUCGAACGGUAACAGGAAGCAGCUUGCUGUUUCGCUGACGAGUGGCGGACGGGUGAGUAAUGUCUGGGAAAUUGCCUGAUGGAGGGGG